UACGGAGGGUGCAAGCGUUGUUCGGAAUUAUUGGGCGUAAAGGGCAAGUAGGUGGUCUCGUAAGUCUACUGUGAAAUCCCCGGGCUUAACUCGGGAAGUGCGGUGGAUACUGCGAGACUAGAGUAUCGGAGGGGUUCGUGGAAUUCCCGGUGUAGCGGUGAAAUGCGCAGAUAUCAGGAGGAACACCGGUGGCGAAGGCGGGUCUCUGGGCCGAUACUGACGCUGAGGAGCGAAAGCGUGGGGGAGCGAACAGG
rnacentral:rRNA from 1 species